rnacentral:rRNA from 1 species
CCCGCUGAACUUAAGCAUAUCAAUAAGCGGAGGAAAAGAAACUAACAAGGAUUCCCCUAGUAACUGCGAGUGAAGCGGGAAAAGCUCAAAUUUAAAAUCUGGCGGUCUCGCGGCCGUCCGAGUUGUAAUCUGGAGAAGCGUCUAUCCGCGUCGGACCGUGUACAAGUCUUCUGGAAGGGAGCGUCGUAGAGGGUGAGAAUCCCGUCUUUGACACGGACAACCGAUGCUUUUGUGAUGCGCUCUCGAAGAGUCGAGUUGUUUGGGAAUGCAGCUCAAAAUGGGUGGUAAAUUCCAUCUAAAGCUAAAUAUUGGCGAGAGACCGAUAGCGAACAAGUACCGUGAGGGAAAGAUGAAAAGCACUUUGGAAAGAGAGUUAAACAGUACGUGAAAUUGUUGAAAGGGAAACGUUUGAAGUCAGUCGCGUCGGCCGAGACUCAACCUUGCGCUCGCGCUCGGUGCACUUCUCGGUUGACGGGUCAGCAUCAAUUUCGACCGCCGGACAAAGGUUGGGGGAAUGUGGCAUCCUUCGGGAUGUGUUAUAGCCCUUGAUUCACAUACGGCGAUUGGGAUUGAGGAACUCGGCGCCUCGCGCGUCCAGGAUGCUGGCAUAAUGGCUUUAAGCGACCCGUCUUGAAAACACG